AUUGAACGCUGGCGGCAGGCCUAACACAUGCAAGUCGAGCGGAUGAAGGGAGCUUGCUCCUGGAUUCAGCGGCGGGCGGGUGAGUAAUGCCUAGGAAUCUGCCUGGUAGAGGGGGAUAACGUCCGGAAACGGGCGCUAAUACCGCAUACGUCCAGAGGGAGAAAGUGGGGGAUCUUCGGACCUCACGCUAUCAGAUGAGCCUAGGUCGGAUUAGCUAGUUGGUGGGGUAAAGGCCUACCAAGGCGACGAUCCGUAACUGGUCUGAGAGGAUGAUCAGUCACACUGGAACUGAGACACGGUCCAGACUCCUACGGGAGGCAGCAGUGGGGAAUAUUGGACAAUGGGCGAAAGCCUGAUCCAGCCAUGCCGCGUGUGUGAAGAAGGUCUUCGGAUUGUAAAGCACUUUAAGUUGGGAGGAAGGGCAGUAAGUUAAUACCUUGCUGUUUUGACGUUACCAACAGAAUAAGCACCGGCUAACUUCGUG
rnacentral:rRNA from 1 species